GACGAACGCUGGCGGCGUGCUUAACACAUGCAAGUCGAACGCUGAAGACCUGGCUUUUGUUGGGUUGGAUGAGUGGCGAACGGGUGCGUAACACGUGAGUAACCUGCCCUCUUCUUUGGGAUAACGCCCGGAAACGGGUGCUAAUACUGGAUAUUCACUGAUCUUCGCAUGUGGGUUGGUGGAAAGGGUUGUUCUGGUUGGGGAUGGGCUCGCGGCCUAUCAGCUUGUUGGUGGGGUGAUGGCCUACCAAGGCUUUGACGGGUAGCCGGCCUGAGAGGGUGACCGGUCACAUUGGGACUGAGAUACGGCCCAGACUCCUACGGGAGGCAGCAGUGGGGAAUAUUGCACAAUGGGCGAAAGCCUGAUGCAGCGACGCCGCGUGAGGGAUGGAGGCCUUCGGGUUGUAAACCUCUUUCGCUCAUGGUCAAGCCGCAACUGUGGGUUGUGGUGAGGGUAGUGGGUAAAGAAGCGCCGGCUAACUACGUG
rnacentral:rRNA from 1 species